GACGAACGCUGGCGGCGUGCUUAACACAUGCGAGUCGAACGGAAAGGCCCUGCUUUUGUGGGGUGCUCGAGUGGCGAACGGGUGAGUAACACGUGAGUAACCUGCCCUUGACUUUGGGAUAACUUCAGGAAACUGGGGCUAAUACCGGAUAGGAGCUCCUGCUGCAUGGUGGGGGUUGGAAAGUUUCGGCGGUUGGGGAUGGACUCGCGGCUUAUCAGCUUGUUGGUGGGGUAGUGGCUUACCAAGGCUUUGACGGGUAGCCGGCCUGAGAGGGUGACCGGCCACAUUGGGACUGAGAUACGGCCCAGACUCCUACGGGAGGCAGCAGUGGGGAAUAUUGCACAAUGGGCGGAAGCCUGAUGCAGCAACGCCGCGUGCGGGAUGACAGCCUUCGGGUUGUAAACCGCUUUCGCCUGUGACGAAGCGUGAGUGACGGUAAUGGGUAAAGAAGCACCGGCUAACUACGUG
rnacentral:rRNA from 1 species